CAGCAUGGGACCUCACCUAGGUUAGCCUGGUAAUGUCUCUGUGUCUCUUUCAUGUAUUUUCUGAGUUGAGUUUUUAUGUGGCCAGCACACUAAGAUUCUAGCUGUCCCAUCACUGUCUUCCCUUCACUUCCAGCAGUACAACAUUUGCAGUGUUUCUUUCUCCAUUUACAUCGAUGAUGCAGGGUAGAAAAGUGUCCGAGGAGCCUGGGAGCAGUGUUCUUGGAUGGGAUCAUCAAAUCAUCAAUUCUACUCAAGGAACAUAAAACCCGUAAUUCUGAACUGGCAACGGUGGGAUGUUGGCAUCGCGGACCGAAUGUCCAGCUCAUCGCAUUCAGCUCAGAUACAUAGGCCACAGAGGACCUAUGGAACUUGAUGUUGUAAGCAGAAAAUGUCACAGCACUCCAGCCAACCGCAUGUCAAGCCAUCAGACGAGUGCUCGCAAUGCAAAUACUCCCCCAUAUACCUCUAAAAAUUAGUAACGGCUUGUCAAUAAA